rnacentral:tRNA from 1 species
AUAAAGGUAAGCUAAAUAAGCUAAAGGGUUCAUACCCCUUCUAUAAGAGUCAAAUCUCUUCCUUUUUA